UUCCUUUUGUUAAAAUAAAUAUUCCCUCUUAUUAUUAUAUUAGAUUUAGAUUAAAAUAGGAGAAAUAAUAGCUUUAUUGUUGGUUUGAAAUAAAGAUUGUGAGGUAUUUCUUUUAGAUAAUUUCUUUCUUCUUUAAUAUAUAUAUAUAUUUUAAAGUAUAUAAUAUAUAGGUUCAAAACUUCCCUCUAAUGGACAAGUUCUAGCAGUUUUGUUUUACAAUAUCCGCGAAGUGAAUUUAAAAGUAAAUGAGAGUGCAAAUCUUACGAUACGCGAGUGCAUUAUUUUUUCUUCAAAUCGUUAUUUCUUAUGAAGAUAAGGAGCAACUUAUAUCUGUGCCACGUCUGGAGAGUUCUGCUGGAAGUGAGCAAGCGCAGGCUGUCUGGACCGCAAUAGUAGAUAGGACGGCUUCACACACUGGUCGACUUAACGGAGCUUGUGUCCUUUUGGAGCAAAAGAUCAACAGAGAACUUCUUAUUUUUGCUUGACGCCAUCACGUCUAUGAAUUGGUACUCAAAGCAGCCUUCGAAGCAAAAAUUUGCCAGUUGACAACAAGCCCAGAUAUCCCCCAAUUUAAAAAAUUCCGAGACAGCUGCAAAAAUAUUGAUAAUACCAAAGUUGAAACCUAUCGAGCAAAAAUAGCAUUGUGCCUGACACUAAGUGAAAUUGAGGACCUAAUUUCGUUUUAUCGCUCUGAACUGACGAAAACAAUUGUCAUAGACGACUAUCGUGGGUUAAUAGAGCUCUCAAUUAUAUUUUUAGGCGGAGAUGAAGGAAACAAGACUAAAAUCCGACCCCCGGUGCCUGCACCAAGCUCUGCGAUGGUUAGAGUUAUCUAUUCCUUAAAAAUAUUAUUACUUAGCUCUCAACUUAAAAUUACUAUUAAAGAUAAGAACGCCCUGUUUGAUGUCUGCUUGUUCAUCGCCUAUGUCAAACCAUGGAUUCAGUGCGUUUCUGCAGUUAAAGCACCUUACCAAGAUCUGUGCUUUUUGAAAACUAUGAGAGUUUAUGAAAAAAAUGAUAAAAAUAUAUCAAAAGCAGUGUUGAAGAAGUUUACUCAGCAUUUAUGGUAUUUGACCGAGGAAGUAUCUGUGUUAUCGCUUUUUGACGAUGAGGUGAGCCUAGAAAGUAAAGAAAAAAUUAUAUCAAAUUUGUCUAAGGAUAGUAUCUCGUCUCAAGAAAAGUUGUUGUUUUACGUUACCAAUGAAAUAUAUUGCACUCUUUUUCGUACUGCGCCAUUCGACUGACAUGAUGACAAUUUGAAAACAAUGUGAUGAAUGAUGAAAUUACUAGAAACACCCGCACUGGCACAUGCAAGUCCUUGCGCGCUUAGGAGUUCAAGUAGUAACAUGUUUCGAUUCAAGUCGGCACGGGUUGCUGUCAUCCGAAGCGCACGGCUGUGUAAUAGGCCAAGUCCGGAGAAGCAAUAAACGUAGUACGUGGCCGAAAUAGUGAUGUCGGCUUUUGUAAUUAACCCCGGGAGCUGCAAAGGAUUGGGAGAUUUAUUGUUGUUUUAUGUCAGACAAGGACGGUAACGGAGCGUUAGAUAGAGGCGAUUUGCCAGCCCAGCUCCUUCAGGAAGCGGAGCACCGCCGAUGGUGUACGGCAGGCUUCGCUCAUGGUCCCUGGAUCUCCCAGGAACUCUUUUCUUGUUGAUGCGACGCCAUGACACUGCAAUAGAAGAUGACCUAAUAGUACCUAAUCUUCUGUAAGGCUAAUUGCCCAUCUAUAAGGAAGGCCAGUGCACCAAGCGAAGCGGUGGUGGUGCAAUGGUUAAGACGCCCGCCUGUGGAUCGAAAGGUCCCAAAUUCGAAUCCUACUCGUGCCACAUGAUUUUGUAUACAAAUCUGACUCAUAUAUAGUAAUUUUCAUCGACCACCACUUGCUUCCGGUGAAGGAAAACAUCCUGAGGAAACCUGCACACUGGUUGGUUAUUAACUUGUGUGCGAAAUGGAAAAGGCAAUAGCAAACCACUCAAUUAAUAAUGCCAAGAAAGUUGUUGUGUGUAUCUCAUUCCACGUAAUGACCAAUUCCCUCAGCCAUGAGGAAUACGACUAUGAAGAGAGUGCACCAAGAGUGGGUACUUUGAUGACCAUUAAUUUAAGCAUUAACUUUUUGUAUCUGUCAAAUUGAAUGUCGU